AACAGUGGUCUUGCACAGACGAUUCCUCGAUCAUUCUAGCACGGAACAACUGCUUAGAUAUCUCAUAUCUAGCAGUUCUGCUCUGCUCACCAUAUAACUCCUUCAAGUUAAGGAGUAUGGAGUGAGUAUCCAUGCUAUCAUGCUGCCUCUGCAAUUCAUUAUUCAUAGAAGCAAGCAUGAUACAUUUGACAGUCAAACUGUCAUUUUUCCACAUACGAUAUGUGG
rnacentral:lncRNA from 1 species